AUUGAACGCUGGCGGCAGGCCUAACACAUGCAAGUCGAGCGGAGCGACGGACGGGUGGGUAAUGCCUAGGAAUCUGACUGGUUGUGGGGGAUAACGUCCGGAAACGGGCGCUAAUACAGAAUACUAUCCGAUGAGCCUAGGUAGGAUUAGCUAGUUGGUGGGGUAAAGGCCUACCAAGGCGACGAUCCGUAACUGGUCUGAGAGGAUGAUCAGUCAAACUGGAACUGAGACACGGUCCAGACUCCUACGGGAGGCAGCAGUGGGGAAUAUUGGACAAUGGGCGAAAGCCUGAUCCAGCCAUGCCGCGUGUGUGAAGAAGGUCUUCGGAUUGUAAAGCACUUUAAGUGGGGAGGCGUUACUAACAGAAUAAGCACCGGCUAACUUCGUGCCAGCAGCCGCGGUAAUUC
rnacentral:rRNA from 1 species